rnacentral:misc_RNA from 1 species
ACCGACGACGGUGAUUACAACGUCAAGCUGCGUAACCUCAUCCGCUUCCUCGAAGACGGCGACAAGACGAAAAUCACGUUGCGUUUCCGUGGCCGUGAGAUGGCCCACCAGGAAAUCGGCAUGCGCAUGCUCGAGCGCCUGCGCACCGACCUCGACGAAGUCGGUCAGGUCGAGCAGAUGCCGAAAAUGGAAGGGCGCCAGAUGAUCAUGGUGCUCGCUCCGAAGAAAAAGAAGUAAGCGCAAGGCAGUUGGCCGGAGCGGUGGCGCAUCAUGUGAUGCGCGCUCCGCUGGCGAAAAUUUGCAUGAUGCUGUGCCGGAUGUCCGGC